AAAAAUAAUAUGAAAAGUUAGGUAAUGAGAUCAAAAAAGUAAUUUAAAAAGCCAGAUAACUAAUUAGAUUUUCCUUUUGUAUAAGGAGUUUAGGGGUAAAAUAGAUAAUUCUUUAACCCCAAAUUAAAGGAUCUUUAAAGUUUUAAUCAUCAAAAAUGAUGUAGAUAAAAUUUUAAUGUAGCGAAAUACUUUCGACUUUAAUUUAUGUGGAUAGGAGUCUCAGGUAAGCCGAGUAUUUGCUUUCUAAUAGAUUAAUUUAUUUAUAAAAUAAUUAUAAUAUAAUAUUGUUAUAAUAAAUUUAAGGUGGAUAAAAUUUUAAAAAUAGGGAGCCUAUAAAUAGCUUUAAAUGGUAAAGUUAAAUAAAAUCUAAAUAUUAGUAAUUGCAUAUUAAGCGUAGUUGGUUGUAGGUUAUAUUUUUUAACUAAAUUUUUUAUUAAAUGUUUAUUAAAAACAUUUCUUAUUUAAUAGUAAGUAGGCCCUGCCCGGUGGUUAUAAACGGCCGCAGUAUUUUGACUGUGCUAAGGUAGCAUAAUCAUUAGGCUGUUAAUUGCCGUCUGGUAUGAAUGGGUUAAUAAAUAAAAAAUAGUGAUAAUAUAAUGUAGGAAUUUAUUAUCUAGUGAAAAUGCUAGAGGUUUGAUGAAAGACGGAAAGACCCUUGAAGCUUUACAAAAUUUUGUUUAAUUGGGGAAAUUAAUGGAUGUUAAAUACCAUUUUUAGUAGUUACUCAAGGGAUAACAGGGUAAUCUAAUUAGAUUAGGUUUACUACCUCGAUGUUGGAUCAUCCUUUAAGGGUCUGUUCGACCUUAAAUAGGGUACGUGAUCUGAGUUUAGAUCGGCGAGAGCCAGAUCGGUUCUUAUCUUCAAGUAAAUCAAUAUAGUACGAAAGGAUGUAUUGGUUGUAAUUAUUACAAU
rnacentral:rRNA from 1 species